UCAGGCGGCUGGGCGAUCGCUGGCGGGGAGACCUGCUGGAGGAAAGUCCGGGCUCCACGGAAGCAAGGCGGCGGGUAACCCCCGCCCGGGGACGGGGUCUUUGAUCCUGGAACCCGAGGGAUAGCGCCACAGAAAGCAAACCGCCCCAAGGCUGAGGCCUCAGGGGUAAGGGUGAAAGGGUGCGGUAAGAGCGCACCGCGGACCUGGCGACAGGGACGGCAUGGCAAGCCCCGCCUGGAGCAAGACCGAAUAGGGACGGAUGUCGGAGGCUUUCAGCUGCCGACGGGCGUGCGUCCGCGCCCCGUCCGGGUUGGUCGCGCGAGGCGAUCCGCAAGGAUCGUCCCAGAGGAAUGGUCGCUCAUCCGCCUUCGGGCGGGGGACAGAACCCGGCUUACAGGCCGCCUGAUCGA
rnacentral:RNase_P_RNA from 1 species